CCUACGGGAGGCAGCAGUGAGGAAUAUUGGUCAAUGGCCGUAAGGCUGAACCAGCCAAGUCGCGUGAAGGAAGACGGAUCUAUGGUUUGUAAACUUCUUUUAUAGGGGAAUAAAGGUAUCCACGUGUGGAUUUUUGCAUGUACCCUAUGAAUAAGCAUCGGCUAACUCCGUGCCAGCAGCCGCGGUAAUACGGAGGAUGCCAGCGUUAUCCGGAUUUAUUGGGUUUAAAGGGUGCGUAGGUUGUUUUUUAAGUCAGCGGUGAAAGUUUGUGGCUCAACCAUAAAAUUGCCGUUGAAACUGGAAGACUUGAGUGUGUUUGAGGUAGGCGGAAUGCGUGGUGUAGCGGUGAAAUGCAUAGAUAUCACGCAGAACUCCGAUUGCGAAGGCAGCUUACUAAGCCAUAACUGACACUGAAGCACGAAAGCGUGGGGAUCAAACAGGAUUAGAUACCCCGGUAGUC
rnacentral:rRNA from 1 species